UACAAGGCAGACGGCUCAGUAACGCGUAGNCNNNNNNCCCUAUGGACGGGGAUAACCUCGGGAAACUGAGAAUANUACCCGAUAGAACAUUAUGCCUGGAAUGGUUUAUGUUUCAAAUAAUUUAUUGCCGUAGGAUGGGACUGCGGCCUAUCAGUUUGUUGGUGAGGUAAUGGCCCACCAAGACUAUUACAGGUACGGGCUCUGAGAGGAGUAGCCCGGAGAUGGGUACUGAGACACGGACCCAGGCCCUAUGGGGCGCAGCAGGCGAGAAAACUUUGCAAUGUGCGAAAGCACGACAAGGUUAAUCCGAGUGGUUUCUGCUAAAGGAACCUUUUGUCAGUCCUAGAAACACUGAUGAAUAAGGGGUGGGCAAGUUCUGGUGUCAGCCGCCGCGGUAAAACCAGCACCUCANGUGGUCAGGAUGAUUAUUGNGCCUAAAGCAUCCGUAGCCUGCUUUGUAAGUUUUCGGUUAAAUCCAUACGCUCAACGUAUGGNCUGCCGGGAAUACUGCAAAGCUAGGGAGUGGGAGAGGUAGACGGUACUCGGUAGGAAGGGGUAAA
rnacentral:rRNA from 1 species